rnacentral:rRNA from 1 species
UUUAAAGUCUGAUCUGCCCUAUGAGGAGUUAAAUGGCCGCGGUAUUUUGACCGUGCAAAGGUAGCAUAAUAAUUAGUUUUUUAAUUGGAAGCUGGAAUGAAUGAUUGGACGAGAAAAUGACUGUCUCAAUUUAAUUUUUUUAGAAUUUUAUUUUUAAGUAAAAACGCUUAAAUUUAUUUAAAAGACGAGAAGACCCCAUAGAGUUUUAUAUUUAUGUAAUUAUUAAUUUUAUAGGAUUAUUAUUUUAAUAUUUACAUAUAUAUUUUAUUGGGGUGAUAGAAAAAUUUAAAUAACUUUUUUUUUAUUGUUACAUUAAUUUAUGAUUAUUUGAUCCAUUAUUUUUGAUUAUAAGAUUAAGUUACCUUGGGGAUAACAGCGUAAUUUUUUUUUAGAGUUCUUAUCGAAAAAAGGGAUUGCGACCUCGAUGUUGGAUUAAAAUAAACUUUUGGUGUAGGGGCUAAAUAGUUAGGUCUGUUCGACCUUUAAAAUUUUACA